CCCCGCACAGCUCCCACCCCCGCCGCGCGCGCCGCCCCGCCCCCAGCCCGGGAGUGUGCGCGGCCCCUAGCCCGCAGCGCGGCCGCGGGGGACAGUGAGGGACGUGGGUGAGGCCGCCAGAUCCGCUCCGGGCGGCUCGGCGGGGCAGAGGAGGAGGGAGCCGGCGCGCCCUCCCAGAGCCGGACUCCGACUGAGGGGGCGGGGAGAGAGGGGUGGAGCGCUGGGAGAGACGCGAGGGGCCGCGACGACAGGACUCCAUUAAGUCGCUCCAGCCGGGAGGCAGCGCUUCGCCGGCUGAGGUGGGGGACCGACGCCGCCGCCCUGAGAGCCGCCGCCCCCGCGCCUGUUGCAGCGCGAACCCCUGGCCGGGAGCGCGAGGAGCCUGCGGAAGGAGCCAUGGCUCUGGACGGGAUAAGGAUGCCAGAUGGCUGCUACGCGGAUGGGACGUGGGAACUGAGUGUUCAUGUGACGGACCUGAACCGCGAUGUCACCCUAAGAGUGACCGGGGAGGUGCACAUUGGAGGGGUGAUGCUCAAGUUGGUGGAAAAACUUGGUG